UAGGCGUUGGAAGAAUCCCUGUAUCCUGAGGUGUGCGGCCUGGUGGUGGGCGCUGUGGGGUGGAAAACAGAGUGUGAGAGAUUCCCGUCUCCCCGGAACUCCCAGCCCCUGCAUCUCGGUGCAGCCAGUGCCCAGAGGCAGUUUCAGAAGAGGUUCCAGAGCCAGGAGAGACUGGCCUAUGAGCCCGAGAGAGACGCGCCUUUCGUUCUCCCUCUGGGCUGGACUCAGGGGAAGGAGAACCCUUUGCUCUGCGUCCCAGUCCUUUGUUGCGGAGGUCUGCUUGUUCUUGUUCUUGUAUGGAGGGACGAGCUCCUUCCGUGAAAGAGGCGGAACCCUGACCCCAGUCAGCCUGCAGGUGAGGGAGCCCAUCCCUGUCUCCAAAGGCAGCACCAUCUCAGCACCACUGUGCCCGCCCACUGUCUUCACAGGAGCACAGCUGUAGUGAAGGUUGAUGCUGCCUGGCCAAGGAGACAGAAGUGUUUUGGCUCAUUUAUGCCUCAUGUAGGCUACCCUCCUGCCAAGAGAGACACUCUAAGCUGCACGUGCUUCACCUUGGGAAGAUCAAGGCGUAAAUUCAAGGAGUCUGGGUGCUGACCAUGUUGUCAGCCGGCCUCACGAGGGUGAGCAUUCUGUUCCACAUCUCGGGCUG